CAGUGUAAAGAUGUCAGCCCCCAUAGACACGUUUGCAAAUAAACAAUAAUUUUCUGUAUUUGUGUCUAUUGAUGACCAAGCAUCAGAAAUGGAGAAUGCAAACUGGCGGAAAGUUGUGCAGAAGCAAGUGUAUGAUAUUCUGUCUCACAAAUAUGGGCUGUUGAUUGUUCUUGGAGGUGCUGUCCUUAUCGUUGUGUCGGCGUUUCAUUUUGGAGAGAUGUGAAACUUAAGAUGUGAAACUGAACAUUGAACAUAACAGAAAUGAUUAAGAAGUAGACGAAACAACUGUUAAUAGACCUACCUAUUCAAACUUUAAAGAAAGGAUACAGACAUUUCCCGCUGUUUGAUAAGAUUGGGGACCAAUACGAACAGGCUUUAGUGUUUGUACAUGUUAAAGUUGAGGAUCUACCACCACAGCCGACGCAUUUACAGGCCUGGAGGGCCACACCCAUGUCUCCACUAGGCAAGAAAAAUUCUUGCCAACCUUGAGAUUACCCCUGUUCUUAACCAAGCAGAUAUUGGCAGAAAACAGCUGAGAUAUUGAGAUAACUUGCGAUAAGCCUGAGAUUUUCCCUGAUCAAGACUUGAACAAAGAAAAACAAAACAGCGACAAUUGAUAAUAUUGAGAUUUCCCUUGAUCGGAAGUUAUUUAGAAAAAAAAAUGUAAAAAAAAACUUGUGUCCGAAAUUAAUUUUCAGUAUUGUUUACAAGAUAAGCACUGAAAAAAAUAAAAGGAAGAUACAAAG